rnacentral:hammerhead_ribozyme from 1 species
AUCUAGCUGACGAGUCGCAAAUAGGACGAAACACGCAUUCCGGAU